GAUGAACGCUGGCGGCGUGCCUAAUACAUGCAAGUCGAGCGAACGGACGAGAAGCUUGCUUCUCUGAUGUUAGCGGCGGACGGGUGAGUAACACGUGGAUAACCUACCUAUAAGACUGGGAUAACUUCGGGAAACCGGAGCUAAUACCGGAUAAUAUUUUGAACCGCAUGGUUCAAAAGUGAAAGACGGUCUUGCUGCCACUUAUAGAUGGAUCCGCGCUGCAUUAGCUAGUUGGUAAGGUAACGGCUUACCAAGGCAACGAUGCAUAGCCGACCUGAGAGGGUGAUCGGCCACACUGGAACUGAGACACGGUCCAGACUCCUACGGGAGGCAGCAGUAGGGAAUCUUCCGCAAUGGGCGAAAGCCUGACGGAGCAACGCCGCGUGAGUGAUGAAGGUCUUCGGAUCGUAAAACUCUGUUAUUAGGGAAGAACAUAUGUGUAAGUAACUGUGCACAUCUUGACGUUACCUAAUCAGAAAGCCACGGCUAACUACGUG
rnacentral:rRNA from 1 species